rnacentral:tRNA from 1 species
ACGUGGUCGGCGGGGAAGGUGCCCCGGUCGGUGACCACGGCCGUGACAUGACCACCCUCCCGUUCGAUUCCGGUGACCGUGUG